GGGGCCAUAGCUCAGUUGGCAGAGCGCUUCGCUUGCACCGAAGAGGUCGCCGGUUCGAAUCCGGCUGGCUCCA
rnacentral:tRNA from 2 species